AUACGGAGGAUCCGAGCGUUAUCCGGAUUUAUUGGGUUUAAAGGGUGCGCAGGCGGGAGAUUAAGUCGGCGGUGAAAUUUUGCAGCUCAACUGUAAAAGUGCCUUCGAAACUGGUUUCCUUGAGUGUAGAUGAAGUAGGCGGAAUUUGUGGUGUAGCGGUGAAAUGCAUAGAUAUCACUCAGAACACCGAUUGCGAAGGCAUCUGACGAACUGCCCACUGACGCUGAGGCACGAAAGCGUGGGGAUCAAACAGGAUUAGAUACCCUGGUAGUCCACGCAGUAAACGAUGAUGACUAACUGCCGGCCCGUUGCGGGUCGGUGGCCAAGCGAAAGCGAUAAGUCAUCCACCUGGGGAGUACGACCGCAAGGUUGAAACUCAAAGGAAUUGACGGGG
rnacentral:rRNA from 1 species